UCCUAGGAGGGGUGCGUCACUUGAGUGGAUUGAGUCACUGAUGUGAUCUUCCUGUCUGGGUUGGCGGCCCCCCCUUGGGUUGUGCCGUGGCGGAGAUCUUUGUGGGCUAUACUCGGCCUUGUCUCAGGAUGGUAAGCUGGUGGUUGAAGAUAUUGCUCUAGUGGUGUGGAGGCUGUGCUUUGGCAAAGUGGGUGGGGUUAUAUCCUUCCUGUUUGGCCCUGUCCGGGGGUGUCAUCGGAUGGGGCCACAGUGUCUCCUGACCCCUCCUGUCUCAGCCUCCAGUAUUUAUGCUGCAGUAGUUUGUGUGUCGGGGGCUAGGGUCAGUUUGUUAUAGCUGGAGUACUUCUCCUGUCUUAUCCGGUGUCCUGUGUGAAUUUAAGUAUGCUCUCUCUAAUUCUCUCUUUCUUUCUUUAUCUCGGAGGACCUGAGCCCUAGGACCAUGCCUCAGGACUACCUGGCAUGAUGACUCCUUGCUGUCCCCAGUCCACCUGGCCGUGCUGCUGCUCCAGUUUCAACUGUUCUGAUUGUGAUUAUUAUUAUUUGACCAUGCUGGUAAUUUAUGAACAUUUGAACAUCUAUAAUAAUAAUAAUAAUAAUAAUAAUAAUCUUGGCCAUGUUCUGUUAUGAUCUCCAACCGGCACAGCCAGAAGAGGACUGGCCACCCCUCAUAGCCUGGUUCCUCUCUAGGUUUCUUCCGAGGUUCUGGCCUUUCUAGGGAGUUUUUCCUAGCCACCGUGCUUCUACACCUGGAUUGCUUGCUGUUUGGGGUUUUAGGCUGGGUUUCUGUACAGCACUUUGAGAUAUCAGCUGAUGUACGAAGGGCUAUAUAAAUACAUUUGAUUUGAAUAAGAUGACAGGCCUAGUCCUGCUUAGAGAUCAACAAGUGAGAUAUGUAGGUCUAACAGUAGGAUAAUAUAUUCAAAUCUAACAGCAAGCCCAAAAGUCACACUCAGUGGGUCAUUUAACAGCUGGAGAGAGUUCUUAGGAAGAUGGAAGGAGGAGAAGCUGGAGAAGGAGGAGAAGCUGGAGAAGGAGGGGGAUGAGGAGAAGGAGGAGGAGGCCUGAGCUACAUGCCAACUCUGCAAGGUUUCCCUUGACAGUGGGCUCUGACUGAAAUAUCAACCCGUGAUAACACCUACGUUCAUCUGGUUCCUUUAUGAAACAAUCCACUCACAUCCUUCAACAGGGUCAUACAGUGUAUCAAAAGGAUCAACUAACUGUAAUAACAUACAAACAUACAUUUGAUUUGAUGUAAAGGGUGAACCUAGUGUAACAACGGAUGAUUAAAGUCCCCUAUUUCUUUAAACCGCUUCCUAUGAGAGGUCUCAAGACAACAGAAUACCUCUUGUUUCAGAACUUUUUAAAUAAGGCCUGUCAUUUGGGUUUAGAUUAUUUCAACAUAACUAGUAAGAAUAGCACCUUUUCAUGUAAUAAGCGUUUAUAAAUCAACAAGUAUGGAACAUAUCACACAUAUCCAAAACAGAUUCAAAUGGGGCGUUUACAUCUAACAGGUUAGGGGCGUUUACAUCUAACAGGUUAGGGGCGUUUACAUCUAACAGGUUAGGGGCGUUUACAUCUAACAGGUUAGGGGCGUUUACAUCUAACAGGUUAGGGGCGUUUACAUCUAACAGGUUAGGGGCGUUUACAUCUAACAGGUUAGGGGCGUUUACAUCUAACAGGUUAGGGGCGUUUACAUCUAACAGGUUAGGGGCGUUUACAUCUAACAGGUUAGGGGCGUUUACAUCUAACAGGUUAGGGGCGUUUACAUCUAACAGGUUAGGGGCGUUUACAUCUAACAGGUUAGGGGCGUUUACAUCUAACAGGUUAGGGGCGUUUACAUCUAACAGGUUAGGGGCGUUUACAUCUAACAGGUUAGGGGCGUUUACAUCUAACAGGUUAGGGGCGUUUACAUCUAACAGGUUAGGGGCGUUUACAUCUAACAGGUUAGGGGCGUUUACAUCUAACAGGUUAGGGGCGUUUACAUCUAACAGGUUAGGGGCGUUUACAUCUAACAGGUUAGGG